rnacentral:rRNA from 1 species
AUUGAACGCUGGCGGCAUGCCUUACACAUGCAAGUCGAACGGCAGCACGGGGGCAACCCUGGUGGCGAGUGGCGAACGGGUGAGUAAAGCAUCGGAACGUACCCGGAAGUGGGGGAUAACGUAGCGAAAGUUACGCUAAUACCGCAUAUUCUGUGAGAAGGAAAGCAGGGGAUCGCAAGACCUUGCGCUUUCGGAGCGGCCGAUGUCGGAUUAGCUAGUUGGUGGGGUAAAGGCCUACCAAGGCGACGAUCCGUAGCGGGUCUGAGAGGAUGAUCCGCCACACUGGGACUGAGACACGGCCCAGACUCCUACGGGAGGCAGCAGUGGGGAAUUUUGGACAAUGGGGGCAACCCUGAUCCAGCCAUGCCGCGUGAGUGAAGAAGGCCUUCGGGUUGUAAAGCUCUUUCGGCCGGGAAAAAAUCGCUCGGGCUAAUACCUUGAGUGGAUGAUGGUACCGGAAUAAGAAGCACCGGCUAACUACGUGCCAGCCGCCGCCGUAAAAC